rnacentral:rRNA from 1 species
UACGUAGGGGGCAAGCGUUGUCCGGAAUCAUUGGGCGUAAAGAGCGUGUAGGCGGCCCGGUAAGUCCGCUGUGAAAGUCCAGGGCUCAACCCUGGGAUGCCGGUGGAUACUGUCGGGCUCGAGUCCGGAAGAGGAGUGUGGAAUUCCUGGUGUAGCGGUGAAAUGCGCAGAUAUCAGGAGGAACACCAACGGCGAAGGCAGCUCGCUGGGACGGUACUGACGCUGAGGCGCGAAAGCGUGGGGAGCGAACAGG